rnacentral:rRNA from 1 species
GACGAACGCUGGCGGCGUGCUUAACACAUGCAAGUCGAACGGAAAGGCCCUGCUUUUGUGGGGUGCUCGAGUGGCGAACGGGUGAGUAACACGUGAGUAACCUGCCCUUGACUUUGGGAUAACUUCAGGAAACUGGGGCUAAUACCGGAUAGGAGCUCCUGCUGCAUGGUGGGGGUUGGAAAGUUUCGGCGGUUGGGGAUGGACUCGCGGCUUAUCAGCUUGUUGGUGGGGUAGUGGCUUACCAAGGCUUUGACGGGUAGCCGGCCUGAGAGGGUGACAGGCCACAUUGGGAAUGAGAAACGGCCCAGACUCAUACUGGAGGCAGCAGUGGGAAAUAAUGCACAAUGGGCGGAAGCAUGAUGCAGCAACGCCGCGUGCGGAAUGACGGCCUUCGGGUUGUAAACCGCUUUCGCCUGUGACGAAGCGUGAGUAACGGUAAUGGGUAAAAAAGCACCGGCUAACUACGU